rnacentral:misc_RNA from 1 species
CCAGAAGAAUGAGUUGUUAAAGAUGGAGGAUCAGGUUGAGACGCAGGAUGAGCAGGGGUUCUGGAGCAGAGCACAGAAACCUCUUCCUGUUCAGAGGAUUCUCAAGGAGACAGGACAGAAUAGACGGAACAAACCUACAAUCAAGGUUGCUUCCUCCUCUCCGAAACAGUCCAUGCAUGAUAAGGAAAACGUUCAAGUUCUAACCAAGAUAGCGGAGAAGAGAUUGGUGUCUCUGAGCUCCCGAAACAUGAGUAAGGAAUUGUGUGAGACCAGUGAUUGGGUGGUUCAAGAAGCCUUAUCCAGUACACUUGCAGUACAGCAGUCAUGCUUGAGUACUCCAGAGAGAUUAAAACCGUCCCUAUUCUCUGCAUCCAAUCUUAGUUGCAUCAGCUUACUAGUCAAUGCAUCAAAUUCACCUCAGGAUUGUAACUUAAAAACACCAAAUAGAAGAGAAGGUUUAGUUAAUUCUGGUGUUUUCAGCACCCCUAGUACAGGAACAUCUUGCAGUAAAACCCCGAGCUCAAUUCGGACACCAAACACAGACUCAAGCGGUCACUCUGGUAUUCGAUACAAUCCGUUUGAUAAUCAUCAAACCUAUGAUUCCCUGAAGCUCCCAACCUUGUCUCCGAGCGUGUUUAACGUCGUCCUCUCCCCGUCUAGCGAGGAUACUGUAAACGGAAGGUUCUGGAGCAUAGAACAGCAAGCAGACCUGUAUCCAACUUCAAUAUCGGACGAUUCUCCGUUAAAACAAUCAAUCCGCCAUAAAAACUAUCGAGAGGAGUUGGGAUCUAAGGCCCAGGAACAGAUAGAAAUAUAUUUUCAAAACUAUCAUGAUAUCACCUCCCCUCCAGAACUUGCUCCCACCGGACCUUUAUUGAUAGAAAGCCCGGACGCGUCCUACACCCAUCCGGAGUCAGGGAACUCGUCUAAAUGGACCCAGACCUGUAUCACUCUCCCCCCUGUUCUACCUCCCCAGGUGGAGCAGGUUCUGCGACAGUUUAAUUUUAUCACGGAUAUAUCCGAGGAACCAAACAAUCUGUCCAACUCAACAUUGCGCCGUAAACUGUUUAAUGUUGAUAUGCUGAGCGAUGAGUCCCAACACCAGUCUUCCUCAGAGGAGGAGGAGGAGGAUUCUCCCUGCAAGUUGAUGACUCCAGGAAAAGUCCUAAGAACCCCUGUCACUUCUAAAAGUACUAAUAGCGCUCAAUGGAGUAGUUCUCCUUUGAGAACCCGACUCCGAACCUCGUUCUCCUCUGCGGAUCUCCACUCUCCAAUGUUCUCUCCAAUAGCGAAGGAUCGUGCCUCCCGGAGCCUGAAUCAGUCCGAUGAUGAGGACCUUGAACCUGAACCUUGUAAUAAGCGAGAGUCCACGGUUUCAGGUUUGGACCGAAGUGAGAUGUUCAAAACUGCUGAACUCCUGGUGUUCUCCGAACCUGAUGAUGAGCAAGAUAUUGUGGUGGAUGAGACUAGAUUUUACAUGGAUACAGAUAGUAAUAGUGGAGUAGGUUGGGGUCUAACCCUACCUAGUCUAGCAGAGGAUAGUAAUAUAAAUACAGAGAGUAGAGUAGAUACAGGAUAUACAACCAGUACAAUAUCUUCAAUUCAUCCUUCAAACCUUCAGGAAUCUUCGGUUAACCCUUCUCUGCUGAAUAUGGAUAGUGGUAUGUCGACUAGUCAACAACCAGACCUGACCGUCAGUCUCAUUCUUCCCCAGCAUCAACCACAGUUAUUUAAUCCGGGAUUUAAUCCGCCAGCUAAUCCCGUUCUCAUGUCAUACGCAGCAGAAGCUACCAACGAUAUAUCAGUAGGAUUCCCUUUAGGUUCGUCAACACCCACUAGACGGUAGAUCAAUACCCGACGUACCCUACUCAUUCAAAUAUAUAUAUAUGGGUUAAAAAUAGACCUGAUAACAUGUUAAAUAUACUAUUUUAUAUGGACGACAUUUUGAGUUAUAAAAUACAAAAGUUAUUUUAAAUUUUUAAGAAAUCAACUCUUUUGUUCCUUUUUCAUGCUUGAACUAUGCUUUAGAAGUGUUAAAUAGGCCUUAAAUUAUGAUGCUAACUAAAAAUGUUCGUUUUAUCAAUGAUUUAUUAGUACUGUUUUAUUCUUCCAAAGGGAAAAUUACUUAUUUUGCUUAGGAUCCAUUUCACUUUGGUGCAAAUCUGGAUCUUGGAACCCUUCAGAGAUAAGGAAAUUUUUUAUUAAUCUCUCCUUUGUUAACAAUUUUUGAUUUGUGUUUUAAGAGGAAAACUUGGUUUUGGUUGAUAUUUGUCUUGGAUCCGGAUCCGUUGUUGCGGACCCACGUAUCUGGAUCCUAAGCACUGGUUUUAAUGUAUGCAUGUAUGUAAAUUCUAAAGCUUUCAAGAUGAAGAUUGAAGAUACAUGCUGUAUAUAGAUAGUUAGAUAUUGUGACCUUUUCUACAAAUGUAAUAGUAAAUUUUGUUUGUUUAUUAACGCUAAACAUAUUAACAUUUAUUUAACUUAAUGUAUUUUGAUAAUCAUGACCCUUUUCAUUUUCCAGUACAAAAUUACAUUUUUCUGAUGAAAUAAAAACUUAUGAAUA